AGAGAUUCUUGACAAGAUUAGAAGGCCAAUCCCCGGCGUUGAUGUUGAGGUUGGAGAGAAUGUCCGCCUCUGAAUCCACCUUCGCCGAAACCAUUCUGGCCGGAAUUGUACUUUUUUCAAAGAUAAAUAAAUGAAACAACCCAAGAUGAAAAUUGAUGAAUCCAGGCAUUAAUCAACACCAAAUUUAAUCUUUUCCAUUGACUUCUGGAGGUGAGUGUUUCUCAUGAUCCUUCGUUUUCAUCCUGCCCAUGGCCUCUUUAGAUGCUACUGUAUUUUCCCCGGAAAAAUAUAGAGCUGGGGAAAGAAGAGGGUGGAUUUUGAAACUGCAGUUCUUUUGCAUUGUUGAUGAACCCAGUUUAAUGGAAUUAUCAUUCAGUGAAAAUAAGACACUGGAUUAAUGAAUCCUCAAUUUGCUUCUAUAUUUCAGAAAUGAAGAUGAAACGUAUAUUAUUGGGCAUA